UACGUAGGGUGCGAGCGUUAAUCGGAAUUACUGGGCGUAAAGCGUGCGCAGGCGGUUCGUUAAGUUCGUUGUGAAAGCCCCGGGCUCAACCUGGGAACUGCAAUGGAAACUGGCGGGCUUGAGUGUGGCAGAGGGGGGGGUGAAUUCCGCGUGUAGCAGUGAAAUGCGUAGAGAUGCGGAGGAACACCGAUGGCGAAGGCAGCCCCCUGGGCCAACACUGACGCUCAGGCACGAAAGCGUGGGGAGCAAACAGG
rnacentral:rRNA from 1 species